GAACCUGUGCACUGUUUAUGAGAAGCAUUGAAUCAGCAUGGAGGAAGCCUGGCAAUGAGGGUUCAGUUUCAUCAAGGCAAGGUGUACAGGGGCUUAGAUGCACCUUAGAGCUUCCUCGAAACACCUUGGGCUCUGUCCUAUAUACGUCGAUUGAUGGAGCCAUUAAGACCCGAAUGGACGAACAGUAAUGAUUCCACUUGGACCGAUCCAAUUUCAAUGACAUUGUCUCAUACAAUUCCAUUAACAUUGGAGCUGUUACCACCUCGGUGACAGAUUAUUAUUUCUUUUAAAAAAGGAAAAGGAAAUUAACACAAUAUAUUGAAUUGCACUGAAUUGAGACAAUAAAUAAUGGAAUGUACCAGA